CGAGCCAUACCUGCCGCCGCGGGACGCCUACCCGCGCCCGCCGCGACCCUACGGACGCCGGGACCCGCGGAGGAUCGUCGACUACCAGGACCUGGACGCGCCGCCCGACGUUGACUUGUUGUAAUUCCCACAGCUGCUGCGGCCACGCACGUCAGGCCGCUGAGCAGCUAUCGGGACCUGGAUGCUCCGAAGGACAUGGACGAGUUCUAGCGCGUGGCGCUGUCUUCGGCACUUGUGAGAGCGCUUUUACUUUCGGACGUGGUGCGCUCGGAGCGGGGCUAAACUUGGAAGAAGAAAGUGGAGCAUCGAGAGCGAGAGUGCGAUGUAAAUGUGUUUGGACGGAUACUCUUGCGAGAUUUGCGCCAAUAAACGUCUACAGAACGGGA